rnacentral:ncRNA from 1 species
AAAAGCACGCUCCUGUUGGUUGAGUUUCGUCACUUUAAUCUUAUAGGUUUGCGUGCUUUUUGUGU